GACGAACGCUGGCGGCGUGCUUAACACAUGCAAGUCGAGCGGUAAGGCCUUUCGGGGUACACGAGCGGCGAACGGGUGAGUAACACGUGGGUGAUCUGCCCUGCACUUCGGGAUAAGCCUGGGAAACUGGGUCUAAUACCGGAUAUGACCUCCUAUCGCAUGGUGGGUGGUGGAAAGAUUUAUCGGUGCAGGAUGGGCCCGCGGCCUAUCAGCUUGUUGGUGGGGUAAUGGCCUACCAAGGCGACGACGGGUAGCCGACCUGAGAGGGUGACCGGCCACACUGGGACUGAGACACGGCCCAGACUCCUACGGGAGGCAGCAGUGGGGAAUAUGGCACAAUGGGCGAAAGCCUGAUGCAGCGACGCCGCGUGAGGGAUGACGGCCUUCGGGUUGUAAACCUCUUUCAGCAGGGACGAAGCGCAAGUGACGGUACCUGCAGAAGAAGCACCGGCUAACUACGUG
rnacentral:rRNA from 1 species